rnacentral:rRNA from 2 species
CAUUACAGAGUUCAUGCCCUAACGGGUAGAUCUCCCACCCUGUGUUAUUAUUACUUUGUUGCUUUGGCGGGCCGUCAGGCUCACGCCCGACUACCGGCUCCGGCUGGUAAGCGCCCGCCAGAGAACCCUAAACCCUGAAUAUUAGUGUCGUCUGAGUACUAUAUAAUAGUUAAAACUUUCAACAACGGAUCUCUUGGUUCUGGCAUCGAUGAAGAACGCAGCGAAAUGCGAUAAGUAAUGUGAAUUGCAGAAUUCAGUGAAUCAUCGAAUCUUUGAACGCACAUUGCGCCCCUUGGUAUUCCGAGGGGCAUGCCUGUUCGAGCGUCAUUACAACCCUCAAGCUUAGCUUGGUAUUGGGCUCUGCCACUCACCUGGCAGGCCUUAAAAUCAGUGGCGGUGCCUCCGUGGCCCUGAGCGUAGUAAAUAUCCUCGCUAUAGGGACUCGGUGGUACUGGCCAACAACCCCCAACUUUCUAAGUUUGACCUCGGAUCAGGUAGGGAUACCCGCUGAACUUAAGCAUAUCAAUAA